rnacentral:misc_RNA from 1 species
GAUGAAGAACGCAGCGAAAUGCGAUAAGUAAUGUGAAUUGCAGAAUUCAGUGAAUCAUCGAAUCUUUGAACGCCCAUUGCGCCCGCUAGUAUUCUGGCGGGCAUGCCUGUCCGAGCGUCAUUUCAACCCUCAAGCCCCCGGGCUUGGUGUUGGGGAUCGGCGAGCCUCCGCGCCCGCCGUCCCCUAAAUCUAGUGGCGGUCUCGCUGUAGCUUCCUCUGCGUAGUAGCACACCUCGCACUGGGAAACAGCGCGGCCACGCCGUUAAACCCCCAACUUCUGAACGUUUGACCUCGGAUCAGGUAGGAAUACCCGCUGAACUUAAGCAUAUCAAUAAGCGGAGGA